rnacentral:rRNA from 1 species
UGUUUCGGCUAGGGGGUCAUCCCGACUUACCAACCCGAUGCAAACUACGAAUACCGAAGAAUGUUAUCACGGGAGACACACGGCGGGUGCUAACGUCCGUCGUGAAGAGGGAAACAACCCAGACCGCCAGCUAAGGUCCCAAAGUCACAGUUAAGUGGGAAACGAUGUGGGAAGGCUCAGACAGCCAGGAUGUUGGCUUAGAAGCAGCCAUCAUUUAAAGAAAGCGUAAUAGCUCACUGGUCGAGUCGGCCUGCGCGGAAGAUGUAACGGGGCUAAACUGUGCACCGAAGCUGCGGCAGCGACACUAUGUGUUGUUGGGUAGGGGAGCGUU